GUCUAUGCCAUGCUACCCUGAACAAGCCCGAUCCCAUUUGAUCUCGGAAGCUAAGCAGGGUUAGGCCUGGUUAGUACUUGGAUGGGAGACUACCUAGGAAGACCAGGUGCUGUAGGCA
rfam:Pteropus alecto contig6949, whole genome shotgun sequence.